UUUCUUUGUUCCUUUUAACGGAUCAUCCCUAUUUCUUUGGUCCUUUCCAUUCAACACGUGUAAGUGCGCUACUUUUUCAUCAAACCACGUGUAACCUCAAGGCCUCACCAUCACCCCUCAAAGAGAAAAAUUGAGUCUCAGUGCUUCGAUGAUUCAGAUUUCGAAGAUAUUGACAAAAUUCAGCCCAGAAGAGAAGCUGAGUUUGGUGCCAAAUGGAUUCAAUGGAGAUUUCAAUCAUUGAUAUUCCUAUUGGGGUUGUGGUAGAAUUAUCCUUAUGCUGAAGUCAAUUUAUUUUGUCCUGGGGCUAUUGUUUAAGACUUGGUAGCACUAAACACACAAGGAGGAGGAGAGGAAAACCAAACUUUUUAUUAUUUAUCACAACAGAGAAUGACAAAAGACACAAUGGUUAGAACAUGUCUACUUCAACUAAUGCUACAGUAAUAUUGUAAAUAUGGUGAAAAUAAGUUGAUAUGUGUGAGAUAAUCUAUAUUAUAAAAUAACAAACUAUAACCUCCAUUUACUACAUAUCGGGUUGCUUGGUCCCGCCUUGAAGAAAGAUUCUCUUAUUAUGAAUGUAUUUUAUUUUGCUCAACAUAUAUUAUUUACUUUUUAAAUAUUCCUAUUCCCACUUGGUAUAAGUGAUACAAUCUGAGAGUCAUACUAUUGGCUCGGAAUAUUGACAUUUAAAAUGUAAAAUAUCUGUUACGAUAUUUUGUUUUUUUUGUG